rnacentral:rRNA from 1 species
GGAUUAGGCAUGCAAGUCGUGCGGCAGCAGGCCCCGCAAGGGGUGCUGGCGAGCGGCGUAAGGGAGAGUAACACGCGGGUACCUACCCUCAGGACCGGGAUAGCUGCGGGAAACUGCAAUUAAUACCGGAUGAUGUCUCCGGACCAAAGGUGUAAUUCCUCCGGAGGAGGGGCCCACGUCCUAUCAGCUAGUUGGAGAGGUAACGGCUCACCAAGGCGACGACGGGUACGGGGUGUGAGAGCAUGCCCCCGCUCACUGGGACUGAGACACUGCCCAGACACCUACGGGUGGCUGCAGUCGAGAAUCUUCCGCAAUGGGCGAAAGCCUGACGGAGCGACGCCGCGUGCGGGAUGAAGGCCUUCGGGUUGUAAACCGCUGUCAGUGGGGAGCAAAUGCACGGGGGUUCUCCCUUGUGCUUGAGCGAUCCGCAGAGGAAGCGCAGGCUAAGUUCGUGCCAGCAGCCGCGGUAACACGAACUGCGCAAACGUUAUUCGGAAUCACUGGGCUUAAAGAGUUCGUAGGCGGCGCGUUAAGUCGGGUGUGAAAUCCCUCGGCUCAACCGAGGAAUUGCGCCCGAAA